rnacentral:rRNA from 1 species
CCUACGGGCGACAGCAGUGAGGAAUAUUGGUCAAUGGACGAGAGUCUGAACCAGCCAAGUAGCGUGAAGGAUGACUGCCCUAUGGGUUGUAAACUUCUUUUAUAAAGGAAUAAAACGAGGCACGUGUGCCUUUUUGCAUGUACUUUAUGAAUAAGGAUCGGCUAACUCCGUGCCAGCAGCCGCGGUAAUACGGCGGAUCCGAGCGUUAUCCGGAUUUAUUGGGUUUAAAGGGAGCGUAGAUGGGUUGUUAAGUCAGUUGUGAAAGUUUGCGGCGCAACCGUAAAAUUGCAAUUGAUACUGGCAGUCUUGAGUACAGUUGAGGUAGGCGGAAUUCGUGGUGUAGCGGUGAAAUGCUUAGAUAUCACGAAGAACCCCGAUUGCGAAGGCAGCUUACUAAACUGUGACUGACAUUGAUGCUCGAAAGUGUGGGUAGCAAACAGGAUUAGAUACCCCAGUAGUC